rnacentral:rRNA from 1 species
GACGAACGCUGGCGGCGUGCUUAACACAUGCAAGUCGAACGGAAAGGCCCCCUUGUGGGGUACUCGAGUGGCGAACGGGUGAGUAACACGUGAGUAACCUACCCUUGACUUUGGGAUAACUUCAGGAAACUGGGGCUAAUACCGGAUAGGAGCUCCUGCUGCAUGGUGGGGGUUGGAAAGUUUCGGCGGUUGGGGAUGGACUCGCGGCUUAUCAGCUUGUUGGUGGGGUAGUGGCUCACCAAGGCUUUGACGGGUAGCCGGCCUGAGAGGGUGACCGGCCACAUUGGGACUGAGAUACGGCCCAGACUCCUACGGGAGGCAGCAGUGGAGAAUAUUGCACAAUGGGCGGAAGCCUGAUGCAGCAACGCCGCGUGCGGGAUGACGGCCUUCGGGUUGUAAACCGCUUUCGCCUGUGACGAAGCGUGAGUGACGGUAAUGGGUAAAGAAGCACCGGCUAACUACGUG